UUCCUUCCGCUCCUCACCACAUUAACCAAUCUUUUCCAUAAACAACAAACUUUAUGAUACCAGAAUCAACCAAAUCUUCACAUUGUAUUUGUAGCAGAAAAGACAAUGGCGACAGCGUAAUCAUUGCCUAUAGCUUGGAAGCAGUGAGGUGAUAGAAGGUUGAGCGAGCAGUAUACAUUAGCUUCCCGGUUUUCUUCUGCCGGAACUCCAUUGAAACCACCGUCAAGUUCCUUCCGCUCCUCACCACAUUAACCAAUCUUUUCCAUAAACAACAAACUUUAUGAUACCAGAAUCAACUAAAUCUUCACAUUGUAUUUGUAGCAGAAAAGACAAUGGCGACAGCGUAAUCAUUGCCUAUAGCUUGGAAGCAGUGAGGUGAUAGAAGGUUGAGCGAGCAGUAUACAUUAGCUUCCCGGUUUUCUUCUGCCGGAACUCCAUUGAAACCACCGUCAAGUUCCUUCCGCUCCUCACCACAUUAACCAAUCUUUUCCAUAAACAACAAACUUUAUGAUACCAGAAUCAACCAAAUCUUCACAUUGUAUUUGUAGCAGAAAAGACAAUGGCGACAGCGUAAUCAUUGCCUAUAGCUUGGAAGCAGUGAGGUGAUAGAAGGUUGAGCGAGCAGUAUACAUUAGCUUCCCGGUUUUCUUCUGCCGGAACUCCAUUGAAACCACCGUCAAGUUCCUUCCGCUCCUCACCACAUUAGCCUCAACCGUCAGCGUCUCCUGCAUCAACGACCACCAA
rnacentral:lncRNA from 1 species